rnacentral:tRNA from 1 species
GCAUUGGUGGUUCAGUGGUAGAAUUCCCACCUUCCAUAUGGGAGACCUAGGUUGGAUUCCAGGCCAAUACG